AGUGAACGCUGGCGGUAGGCCUAACACAUGCAAGUCGAACGGCAGCACAGUAAGAGCUUGCUCUUACGGGUGGCGAGUGGCGGACGGGUGAGGAAUACAUCGGAAUCUACUUUUUCGUGGGGGAUAACGUAGGGAAACUUACGCGAAUACCGCAUACGACCUACGGGUGAAAGCAGGGGAUCUUCGGACCUUGCGCGAUUGAAUGAGCCGAGGACGGAUUAGCUAGUUGGCGGGGUAAAGGCCCAGAAAGGCGACGAUCCGAAGCUGGUCUGAGAGGAUGAUCAGACACCCGGGAAGUGAGACACGGUCGAGACUCCUACGGGAGGCAGCGGUGGGGAAUAUUGGACGAGGGGGGCAAGCCUGAUCCAGCCAUACCGCGUAGGUGAAGAAGGCCUUCGGGUUGGAAAGCCCUUUUGUUGGGAAAGAAAAGCAGCAGGUUAAUACCCCGCUGUUCUGACGGUACCCAAAGAAUAAGCACCGGCUAACUUCGUG
rnacentral:rRNA from 1 species